GCCGAGGUCCUCUUCUAGGAUUGGUUGUCCACUCAUAACCGUAAGAUAAUUAAAACAGGAGGGGGGCAGGGUUAAAAAAAACUUUUUUAUCAGCCAUAGGUUAAUGCAAGUGUUUAACAGAUGCUUCGCUAUUAAAAUAUUUUCCCCCAAUACUGACGAAUCUCAAACCAGCCACCCUUUCAGAGAUUGUGAAGGUUUUCAAAGUGGGGCACCUCGAUUUCUCGAAUCUGUGGUGUGGCGAAUAUCCGUGUUCCUCUGGCUUAACUAGCCUGUUUGAAGGCACUGUUCAUUCUCCAGCAAUUUUUCACCUCUUGUGGGUCUUCUCUUUCCGUCUACAGGAGAGUGUGACUUCAGAAAGAAACUUCGGAUUGGCCAAGGCAGGACUGCUCCUAUUUAUCCCAAAGGUUUGAGAUGGGCCAUCCUUGGUGUUGAUUGAGAUGCCAAGCAAUCAUCUGAGUCCAAACAGCUGGGUUCAUGGAUGUGGCUAGUCUUGCCAACCAGCUCGCUCUGUGGAAGUUCUGGGGAACUGACUGCAGUCCUCACUCUUGGGAGUCAAACACUUUAGCCACUGAGCCAUCUCCCCUGCACACAUUUAUGUAAUAGUAUUGAAAUAUCAGAAUUAGAGAAAUGAAUGAAAGAUUAGAGUGGGAAAAAGUGCUCGCUGCCAAGCCUGAUGACCUAAAUUGAAUCCUGGAACCUACACAACACAAAGAGAGAACUGACUCCUGAAAGAUGUCCGCAGAUCUUCACAUAUGCACAGUGGCACACAGCAUGUACCUAUCCAACUAUGCACAUAGUAUAUUAAAAUUAUUUUUAAAAAUUCA